CUCACAUCUGGCCUCUGGACUCCCAUCUUCAGCCAAGGAUGAAUCAGGUGAGGUGACAUUUGGCUGUCCUCUCUCAGCUCUAGCAUUUCCAACCAGUAUUUUUUUUCUUUCUUUCUUUGAAUCACUCUGAUAGUCUUCCAGAACUGGGGACCUGCCAUUCAUUUAUUGAUUCCCUUGAUGUAUGUGAUACAGUUACUCUUCCAAUCAUUAGUAUGCAAAAAAGGCUUGAGGAAGUCAUCCAUGGCUGGACAUCAGGCAGCUGGGACUGAUACAUCACUCAGCAGUCCAGGAAAAAGAAGAGAGAAGCCCGGGCUCUUGCUGAAUCUGGAAGCCCAGCCAGCCCUUCUGGGAGAAGCCAAAUUAUUGCCUGCCAUGCAUGGUGACCUGGGAAAGGAGAAGUGGGGAGAGGCAGCUUUGCCAAGGGUCAGGAUACAAGAACAAGAGCUGCCCUCAGGGAAAAUUUCAGCUGAGUGUUUGCAUUUUAAAGAGGCUUCUAGGAGAACCUUUCCUCCCACACAACAAAGGACCAUGGUAAUGGCAUCUUCAAUGGAGGUAUUUAGUAGAAGGGGUGGGCUGGGACUCAGAACUAUACCACCAAGCCCCUUAGACAUCAGCAGGGUUCCUUACAAUGGAGCACCAUCCAGAUUGGAGAAGACAAAG
rnacentral:lncRNA from 12 species